rnacentral:rRNA from 1 species
UACGGAGGGUGCAAGCGUUAUCCGGAUUUACUGGGUUUAAAGGGUGCGUAGGCGGGUUGUUAAGUCAGUGGUGAAAGAUUCGAGCUCAACUCGGAAACUGCCAUUGAUACUGAUGAUCUUGAAUACAGUUGAGGUAGGCGGAAUGUGUCAUGUAGCGGUGAAAUGCUUAGAUAUGACACAGAACACCGAUUGCGAAGGCAGCUUGCUAAACUGUGAUUGACGCUGAGGCACGAAGGCGUGGGGAUCAAACAGG